GGGUUCACCAAGUUUGACGUGGAGAAAUUCGAUAGCACGGGUAACUUCGGUCUAUGGCAGACAAGAGUCAAGGAUAUUUUGGCGCAGGAGGGAAUCUUGAAGGGUUUGAAGGAGACGAAGCCAGCCAAGGUUGUCAACGAUGCGUGGGAGGAUAUGCAAGUGCAGGCGGCCGCUACCAUACGGCUUUGUCUUGCGGAUCAGGUCAUGUAUCAUGUCAUGGACGAAGAUACUCCUAAGGGAAUUUGGGACAAGUUGGCAAAUCGUUAUAUGUCCAAGUCAGCGACCAAUAAGCUGUAUUUGAAGCAAAAGUCCUAUGGGCUGAAGAUGCAGGAGGGGUCGGAUCUUGUGGAGCAUGUGAAUGCCUUUAAUCAG
rnacentral:rRNA from 1 species